CAUCAGGAGUUUCUUAUUAAGAGGCAUGUGUUCAAGGCUUUAUGAGCUAACACCAGUAGAGAGCAGACCACACUAGUGAGGAGGUGUGGAGAGGGGCGGCAGGGGGCCAAGGACGGCUUUGCUUCUCAACAGCUGUGCGGAAGACUGAACUUCGGUAUUGCAACUGGCAGAAGGGGACAUCCUGCUUCCAGAUGCACUGACAGCUUUCGUUCCACACUACCUUUUCCAAGAUGAUCGUCUGAUGAACAGCCUUGGAAGAUAGACAUAGUGUUUUCCUCUGGAGCGGAAGCUGGAGAUGCGGAAGUUCUGAAGAGUCGUUACGUGACCUGCCUGCACUGCACAGAUUGUCAAGCACCUGGCACAGGACUUGAACUUGGUCUUCCCGGUCUAAAUCCUAAGCUUAUUCCACCUACUGUCUUCCUCUCAGGUCCUUCCUACCUCCAUAUGCUCUCCUUUUCCCCAGACCUGAGCCCCCAGGAGAGUACUUUACAGCGGCCUGUCUUGCAUCAAUACAUUUCCACUGUACGCGAGGAGCUAGUCUGUGCAGUUGACACCACUGUUUGACUUGAAUCCAUGACUUACCUUUAGGAGCCGUGUUUGGACACUUGAAGCAUCUUCCAGAGGGGAGGAGGACUUUUUUUGUUCAGGAAGCCUUUUCUUAGGUAGAAAGUGAUGCUUUCACCUAAACAGGAGGUUGGUCCUGGACUGAAGGAACUUGAGUUAUUCAGAGCUGCUGUUGCUCUGGAAAGAUUUAUUUUUAGUAUUUUUUUUAAACUUGAAGUAAAUGAAGAGAAUCCUGCAAUAUGUAUAGUGGGAUUUAGGGAGUGGGACACGGGUGGAGGCCCCUCCGGAAAUGUUCCUGCCUCCCUCCCAUCCCCAGGUCUCCAGGCGCCAGCUCUUUCUGAUCUGCUCCUUGCUGUCUGGUUGAUUCUCCCUGUCUCUCAGGAGGCUGAGCUGCUCCCUGGCCAGGAAAUGUUGAGCUUUGCAAGGCUGCGCCAGACCCUCCUGUCUCCUCACUCUAUUCUCUUCCUAGAGCACUGCAUUCACACCCACAGCUCUCAUUACCACCUCUGCAUAAGAGAGUCCCAACCUUCCUUCUUCCCAUCAUGCUUGGCUUUUCACUUGAUGCUUACUUGAUAUCUUCUCUUGGAUCUCUUGAAGGAAACUUGUGCUCAACUUGUCCAAACAGAUUUUCACUCCCCAAACCUGUUGUUCAUCUGGUGUUUUCUGUCUUAGGGAGUAUCACCACUGUCUAUCCUAUUACGAGUCAGGAAAUGGGGAAUUCACUGUUCAUCUCCACCCUACAUCUAGCUCAGCACCAUUUCAACUCCUAAAUAGCUCUGGUCUGUGCACAGUUCUCUCUAUAUCUACCACUACCACCCUAAUCCAAGCUACUCUAGGCACCGCCUUCCCCCUGCUCCCCAUUCACCACGUGGCAGCCAGACUGGUCCUUUCAGAAGGCAGAUCUGCUCAUGUGACCCCAUGGCUUAAUACUUUCGUUUCUUAUUUAGAAUAAGGAUGGAAUUCCUUGACUUGACCUACAGAGCCAUGUUGAGUGUGGCCUCUUCUAUCCUCUGUAGCCUCAUCUUAAACUACACUCGCCCCUGCUCUCUCCCCUCCAGCCAGGUUGGUCUUUUUUCUGCUCGUCACAUCAUAGGCUCUUUUCACACUCUUCCCUCUGUCUGGAACCCUCUUUCGCUUUUUCUUUGAUUGGUUGAACCAUAUUCAUCUUGUACUUCUCAAUUUCUGGUCACUGCUCAGGCACAUCUUUCCCAGCUUGGUUGAAUUCCUUUCUUACAAACUCUAUAACACCGUACUGCCACUUUGUAGUCCUUCUUAUACUUAUAAUUUUAAAUUUGUAUUCAUGUGAUUAUUAAUCUUUCUCCUCCACUAGCCUGUGACUUUCAUGAGCACAGGCACCCUACUAAUUUUACCUCCACCACUAGUAUAGUAGUUGACGUUGUAGAUUGUAGACUGUAGUAGAGGUCUUCCUACCAGGAGAAGACAGAGGAUACUAAUUUCCCCUACAAGUUUUGAGGGUAUGGUAGUGUCAAUCCUAGAUAGCUCAGUUGGAGUAAUUGACCUGAAUUGCCAUUGCUACCAUCACUACCACCUCUACCACCAUCACUACCACCACUACCACCACCUCCAUCACUACCAUCACCAUCACCACCACCACCACCUCCACCAUCACCAUCAGCACUAUCACCACUACCACCAUCCCCACCACCAUCAUCACUACCACCAUCACCAUGACCUCCGUUACUACCAUCACCAUCACCACCAUCACCAUGACCUCUACCACCAUCAUCACCACUGCCACCAUUACCACUACCUCCAUUACAACCAUCACCAUCACCACCACCUCUACCACCACCAUCACCACAACCUCCAUCACUACCUUCAUCAUUACCACCAUCUCCACUAGCAACAUUGUCAUCAUUAUUAUCAUUAUCAUCUGGUAACCUUAUCCCUGAUGUCACAGUAAGACUAGUCGGUAUUUUCCUAUUGUGGGACAUAACAAGUUGUUUAUUGGUUUCUUUGGAACUUCUAGAGUUCUGAUGAAAUUGCCUCAGAUAUUGAUAUUAUGUUGUUAGUUCACCUUUUUAACUAAA
ensembl:lncRNA